UGCAAACCCGGUAACAAGUUUCGGGGAAUUCUCCGUGCAAUUUCGCCCGAAACCGUAACACAAUCCCGUUACAAACAAAGGCCGUUUCAAUCGUAUAGAGUUCUUUUUUCAUGUGAAAAUGAGAACAGUUGGAACUCUUCGGAAUUCAGGCAUUACGAAAUUAAAUUAUCAUACUGAGUCAUCAUAGCUGGCUAACUACUAAGGACGGGUCUCUACACUGGCUAAGUGUGGAUUAGUUGACUUCACACACUUUGAAGAACAUCAUGGAGAAUUCUCCAGGCAUGCAAGUUUCCUCAUCGAUUCCGUAAAACAAGCAUCAUUAUUACACUCGCAAUUGUAAUUAUUGACUUUUAUGCUAUUCUUGUUGCAACAAUGCAUUAUAGCCAAUAGUGAGCGAGCAUCAACCAAUCAAAUGUGAUUGCAAUCGUGAUAUGGUAGCUGUCGUUCUACCGCAAUCGAGCUGCUGGAAAUCCACAGACAGAUA